GACAGAGGGUGCAAACGUUGUUCGGAAUUACUGGGCGUAAAGCGUGCGUAGGCGGUUUCUUAAGUCCGUUGUGAAAGCCCUGGGCUCAACCUGGGAACUGCAGUGGAUACUGAGAGGCUAGAGUGUGUCAGAGGAUGGUGGAAUUCCCGGUGUAGCGGUGAAAUGCGUAGAGAUCGGGAGGAACAUCAGUGGCGAAGGCGGCCAUCUGGGACAACACUGACGCUGAGGCACGAAAGCGUGGGGAGCAAACAGG
rnacentral:rRNA from 1 species